GAGUGGGGGAUAACGUAGCGAAAGUUACGCUAAUACCGCAUACGAUCUAAGGAUGAAAGUGGGGGAUCGCAAGACCUCAUGCUCGUGGAGCGGCCGAUAUCUGAUUAGCUAGUUGGUAGGGUAAAAGCCUACCAAGGCAUCGAUCAGUAGCUGGUCUGAGAGGACGACCAGCCACACUGGAACUGAGACACGGUCCAGACUCCUACGGGAGGCAGCAGUGGGGAAUUUUGGACAAUGGGCGAAAGCCUGAUCCAGCAAUGCCGCGUGAGUGAAGAAGGCCUUCGGGUUGUAAAGCUCUUUUGUCAGGGAAGAAACGGUGAGAGCUAAUAUCUCUUGCUAAUGACGGUACCUGAAGAAUAAGCACCGGCUAACUACGUGCCAGCAGCCGCGGUAAUACGUAGGGUGCAAGCGUUAAUCGGAAUUACUGGGCGUAAAGCGUGCGCAGGCGGUUUUGUAAGUCUGAUGUGAAAUCCCCGGGCUCAACCUGGGAAUUGCAUUGGAGACUGCAAGGCUAGAAUCUGGCAGAGGGGGGUAGAAUUCCACGUGUAGCAGUGAAAUGCGUAGAUAUGUGGAGGAACACCGAUGGCGAAGGCAGCCCCCUGGGUCAAGAUUGACGCUCAUGCACGAAAGCGUGGGGAGCAAACAGGAUUAGAUACCCUGGUAGUCCACGCCCUAAACGAUGUCUACUAGUUGUCGGGUCUUAAUUGACUUGGUAACGC
rnacentral:rRNA from 1 species